CUGCUCACUUUGGCAGCACAAAUACUAAAAUUGGAACGAUACAGAGAAGAUUAGCAUGGCCCUUGUUCAAGGGUGACACUCAAAUUUGUGAAACAUUCCAUAUUAAU